GAUGAACGCUGGCGGCGUGCCUAAUACAUGCAAGUCGAGCGAACAGAUGAGGAGCUUGCUCCUCUGACGUUAGCGGCGGACGGGUGAGUAACACGUGGAUAACCUACCUAUAAGACUGGGAUAACUUCGGGAAACCGGAGCUAAUACCGGAUAAUAUAUUGAACCGCAUGGUUCAAUAGUGAAAGACGGUUUUGCUGUCACUUAUAGGUGGAUCCGCGCCGCAUUAGCUAGUUGGUAAGGUAACGGCUUACCAAGGCAACGAUGCGUAGCCGACCUGAGAGGGUGAUCGGCCACACUGGAACUGAGACACGGUCAAGACUCCUACGGGAGGCAGCAGUAGGGAAUCUUCCGCAAAGGGCGAAAGCCUGACGGAGCAACGCCGCGUGAGUGAUGAAGGUCUUCGGAUCGUAAAACUCUGUUAUUAGGGAAGAACAAAUGUGUAAGUAACUAUGCACGUCUUGACGGUACCUAAUCAGAAAGCCACGGCUAACUACGUG
rnacentral:rRNA from 1 species